GAGCUGUGAUGAUUUUCGCGCUCUUUCGAAGAUGAGGGUUCUUCGAAAUUAGCUGAUCUUCAGACGAUAAUAGCAGCGCUUCUGAGCUU
rfam:Gossypium raimondii Chr10_contig_1390, whole genome shotgun sequence.